rnacentral:rRNA from 1 species
GACGUAGGGGGCAAGCGUUGUCCGGAUUUAUUGGGCGUAAAGAGCUCGUAGGCGGCUUGGCAAGUCGGGUGUGAAAACUCCAGGCUCAACCUGGAGAGGCCACUCGAUACUGCCAUGGCUAGAGUCCGGUAGGGGCGCACGGAAUUCCCGGUGUAGCGGUGAAAUGCUUAGAUAUCGGGAGGAACACCAGUGGCGAAGGCGGUGCGCUGGGCCGGAACUGACGCUGAGGAGCGAAAGCGUGGGGAGCGAACAGG